AGUGAACGCUGGCGGUAGGCCUAACACAUGCAAGUCGAACGGCAGCACAGUAAGAGCUUGCUCUUACGGGUGGCGAGUGGCGGACGGGUGAGGAAUACAUCGGAAUCUACUUUUUCGUGGGGGAUAACGUAGGGAAACUUACGCUAAUACCGCAUACGACCUACGGGUGAAAGCAGGGGAUCUUCGGACCUUGCGCGAUUGAAUGAGCCGAUGUCGGAUUAGCUAGUUGGCGGGGUAAAGGCCCACCAAGGCGACGAUCCGUAGCUGGUCUGAGAGGAUGAUCAGCCACACUGGAACUGAGACACGGUCCAGACUCCUACGGGAGGCAGCAGUGGGGAAUAUUGGACAAUGGGCGCAAGCCUGGUCCAGCCAUACCGCGUGGGUGAAGAAGGCCUUCGGGUUGUAAAACCCUUUUGUUGGGAAAGAAAAGCAGCAGGUUAAUACCCCGCUGUUCUGACGGUACCCAAAGAAUAAGCACCGGCUAACUUCGUG
rnacentral:rRNA from 1 species